rnacentral:rRNA from 1 species
GUGGAUUAGAUACCCUGGUAGUCCACACCGUAAACGAUGGAUACUAGGUGUGCGGGGACUGACCCCCUGCGUGCCGCAGUUAACACAAUAAGUAUCCCACCUGGGGAGUACGAUCGCAAGAUUGAAACUCAAAGGAAUUGACGGGCACCCGCACAAGUAGUGGAGUAUGUUCAUUAAUUCGACGCAACGCGAAGAACCUUACCAGGGUUUGACAUCCUGCUAACGAAGUAGAGAUACAUUAGGUGCCCCUUCGGGGGAAAGCAGAGACAGGUGGUGCACGGUCGUCGCCAACU